rnacentral:rRNA from 1 species
UACGUAGGGGGCAAGCGUUAUCCGGAUUUACUGGGUGUAAAGGGAGCGUAGACGGCAGCGCAAGUCUGGAGUGAAAUGCCGGGGCCCAACCCCGGAACUGCAUUGGAAACUGUAUUUCUAGAGUGUCGGAGAGGCAAGUGGAAUUCCUGGUGUAGCGGUGAAAUGCGUAGAUAUCAGGAGGAACACCAGUGGCGAAGGCGGCUUACUGGACUGUAACUGACGUUGAGGCUCGAAAGCGUGGGGAGCAAACAGG